AUGGCAGCUAGGAGUCCUAGUGUUCGUCUUCUUCGUAAAGCUUUUUACAGAAAGGACUUGAGUGAGGAUCCUCCCAAAUUCCCCAACACGGUAACCUUCAAGAUCACGAGUUUCUAGAUUGGCUAUGAUCUCAUCACUUCCUCACAAAGCUUAUGGUGGUAAGUUGAGGCCAAGAGAAGUGAAAGCAGUUCCCACAAACAAGAAUGCAACUCCAAAGUCAUCACAAGGAAUUAACACUGAAGAGAAAUAUAGACGAUCAACUCCAGGCCGGAGAAGAUCCUGCUGUAAUAAAGGAUACAUCAAAGCAGACGAAGGAAGCAAUGACAAAGAAAAUUCUUCAGCCUUUAAGAAUAACAGGAAUGUCGACCAAGCAGCAACCUACCCCCUGUUGAAGAACAAUGUCUUUGGCAAUAAAGAAACUUGCAAAACCACUCAAAGGGUAUCUCAGUUUCUUUGUGUAUACUUUGUGUUUCUCCUAUGUAUCUAUCUAUCAUGUGUUGCUCAUGUACUUGUUACUAAACCAGGCAAUGACAAUACGGAUAAUUGUUUUAAUGGCAAGACAGUUUCGGCUACUUCCCGCGUCAAGUAUACUAAGCCUAAGCUCACGAAUCCAAAGCCCUUUCAGACUAAGAACUGAUGUAUGAUGUGCACUAGUAGUAUGCAACUCUUGUUUGUUCUUUUCUUCUGAGGGAAGAAUAAUUUCAUGUUUUUUAAGGAAAGAAGAAGAAACUACCAACAUUCUUGGCUUCCAUGGUGAAAUCUUGGGUCCAAAACAAGAGCCAGCUCCACUUGAGAAGAACACAACUUCCAGGUCAAAAUAUUUAAGAGGAACAUCCACAAAAACACUUGUUAGACACGAUGCCUCUGAAGAUAUGGUGAACUGCAAGAGGGUUGCCUCAGGUACAAAGAAGCAAGUGGGAUCAAAAGAGUUGUAACCUCGAUGAUCAAUGGAGAAUCUAAGGAAGCUGCAGUCGUCGUCAAAAAACCUUCUGUUUGUGCUGCUGCUUCAGGGGAGAAAAGACCUUUAACUGUCCCAAAGGGACCAAACUUCCAUUGCAUUCAUGUACCUAAGAGCUGUUGUUGUACAAAUAGAAUGGCAUCACAUGUCUAUAAGUCUCCGGUUUAGUUCUCACACGAGAGUGUCUUGUAAUUUGGGUUGAUCUUUGAGAAGUAACAGAAGCGAGUUUGUUUGUUUUUACUGUUGUAUAAAAACACUUGCUAAUUUUUACAGACUGGUCAAUUAUUGUUAGUAGUAUUAAUGAGUUGAGAGAGAAUUUGGGGCUGGAAAAAACAUGUACUGAUGUGUGUUACCAUCACAGAAACUUCAUCGACAAAGAGAACAUGUACUGCAACAUAAUGUAGCUGAUAGAAUGUACAAGCUAUUUGCUUGCAAACCACGGUAUGCAUCUCUUCUUCAUGGCUGGACUUCCCCAAGAACAUCCCAGCCACAUCCGUGUUCUCACUUGCAGGGCUUGUAAACAACACCAAUCUCAAAUCCUACAAAUAUGUUGUACACAUUUGACAGUCCAUAGCUAACAAACAACACGCCGUAGGUUGAUGAUGUAUCUACAUUUAUAUUUUUACUAACCCAAAAAAUCUGAGGCUUGUGGUCCUACGCCUACGCCUCAUCAAACCUUGGCAAAAAUGAUUGACAAGAAUGUUUGAAAUCAUCUCAGAUUAUUGACGCAAUCCGAUAAUAAUAGAUUUGGAAACAUUCUUUUAUGUUGGUUUGGUAGCAGACGGUAUCCUUUUGUAUAGCUUAUAACAGUAAAAACCAUAGCACCUAUGUACCACAUGGCUUUUUGAUGAAUAAAGUUAACAUUCAUUCAAAAAAUGAUUUAAACAUAGCACCUAUGCACCACAUGGCUUUAGAUAAAUAACUAACAUGACUUAAAGACAAUUAAACUGCGUUAUGAUUUCUAAUAAUACACAUUGGAAAAUGGUGGGGGCAAAUGAAAAAGACAGUCAUGUGAACGUCUCUUUCUUUUUAGCUGUCCUCUCGAGUCCUGCUUUAUCCCUAUUCCCUACAAUUGUUAUUCACUACCUCUUUCAUAUUCUUCCCAUUCUUUUUUUGAAUUUUCUUAAUUUUCUUACAAAUUCAAAUCUUGUACAUGUAUUAUUCCAUGAAAUAAAAUAAAUGUAACCUUGCUCAAAAAAAUAAAAAAAAUAAAUGUUUUUUUUAUUUUUUAUUUUUUAAAAUAAAUGUAACCUACACAGAAUUAAAAAUAAUUUAUUCUAUAGAAAAAUCCAAGAUGGCGACCUCUUUUUCUUUACAUAUGCGAUUCUUAUGACACACAGCUUGCAAUUUUAGCUUUUUGCUUUAUUCGUAUUCGUUCUAGAAAGAUAACAUUUCUCACUAACGUAUUUUAUUUUAUUUGCUACAAAUAGUUACCUCAAGCUUGUUAAAUAUAUACACAUUUAUCUCUUUUUUUUCCUUUUCUUGUGAACCACCAUAUGCAUUGAUAAUUUGAUAUCAUCCAACUAACAACGAGAUAUAUAUUGAUAAUACUGGUUAUUGAUAGUUCGUCUGUGAAAAUUUGGAUAAAAAUGAAUUUACAUCACAUGCAUCAAAUAGAGUCAACGAUAAACUUAUUAAGCAAACAAAUGUCUGAAUCGUACCAUAUCAAACACAAACCCAAAUAUAUGAUAAAACAUGAAAACUAAUGGCUCGAGAAAAAAUGAAAGUAAAUUACACAAACACGACGCUGGCCAAUUUAAUAAUAAUCUCAAACUAGGAGCAAA